rnacentral:rRNA from 1 species
ACGGAAGGCAGCAGUAGGGAAUCUUCCACAAUGGGCGAAAGCCUGAUGGAGCAACGCCGCGUGUGUGAUGAAGGGUUUCGGCUCGUAAAACACUGUUGUAAGAGAAGAAUGACAUUGAGAGUAACUGUUCAAUGUGUGACGGUAUCUUACCAGAAAGGAACGGCUAAAUACGUGCCAGCAGCCGCGGUAAUACGUAUGUUCCAAGCGUUAUCCGGAUUUAUUGGGCGUAAAGCGAGCGCAGACGGUUAUUUAAGUCUGAUGUGAAAGCCCGCAGCUCAACUGCGGAGUUGCUUUGGAAACUGGAUGACUUGAGUGCAGUAGAGGAAAGCGGAACUCCAUGCGUAGCGGUGAAAUGCGUAGAUAUAUGGAAGAACACCAGUGGCGAAGGCGGCUUACUGGACUGUAACUGACGUUGAGGCUCGAAAGUGUGGGUAGCAAACAGGAUUAGAUACCCUGGUA